rnacentral:sRNA from 1 species
GUUGAGCAUGGUGGUGCAUGCCUGUAAUCCCAGCUCCUCAGGAGGUUGAGGCAGGAGGAUAACAAGUUCUUAGCAACUUGGUGAGGCCCUAAGCAACUUAGAAAGAUUCUGUCUCAA